rnacentral:lncRNA from 1 species
UCUCAAUUUAUGAACCUCCUUGGCAGCCUUUGUUCUGCUCUCACAUGAGGCUCUGCCAAGUUUAUAAAUACUUCCUCUGAAUGACUAUAAAUUCGGUCUCCCUAAUCUUUCACUCCAUAGAUAAAAUCUCACUGAGGUUGCAGUACCACUGACGCUUAAACUGUUUUCUUGCUUGAUCUUAACACUCUAACCAAAUGGAUUUUGGGGGCCUCCUUUUCAUGGUUCACAGCUGCUUGACUCAAGGAUGUUUGCCUAGCCAUAUCCUGAAAGUUGGAAGCUAACCGGCUUGGAUGCCUGCCUCUCACACUGUUCCUUUCUGUGAAGUCAAGACCAUUGAUAAAAGCCAGACAGUUUACAGAAGGACCUAAAGAAGGUUAUUUCUCUGAACACUUGGCUGUACCUUCUCCAACAACAGAUGAAUUUACCAGAUGUAACAGAAGCGGUUCUUUUGUUUCUCAAGGAGGAUAAGAUUGCCUUUUGUUCUGAUGAACAGUGAAGAACUUUUAGUGAGAAAUCCACCGAAGGAAGAGGAGGGCUGCAGUGCAGGGCCGAAAGGCACGAUGGGAAUGACAAGAAUUGACAGCGCCAAGAGCAGGUGAGAGAGGCUUAUGCAGAAAUUUCCUGCCUUUAUGAAACUCCACAAUAUUCUGCUCCCCAAAAGUUAAAGAAUCAGUGCUUUUUUCUGCCAAGAAAGUAAGAACUUGUAGUUUGUGUCUCCACAGCUUCUGAUUAAGGCGAGGAUGCUGGUCAGCAAGGAAGCACCUUGGAGGUGCCAAGAACUCUUCGUAGAUGGUCCCUUUGUGGAGCAGUGAUGGAUUCGAGAAGGCUGUGAGAACAACACCACAGACUCAGGGGCUGAUGAACAAGAUGGCACCUGCCAUCUGCCAGACCCUGUGCUGGAUACAGUAGUGAGCAGGCAGCAGUCAGAGCCCAUCCUCACGGAGCCCAGUGGGGAAGCCACGUGAGUCAGGAUGAUCCGAGAAGGCUUGUCUCAGGAGUUAACUGGAUCAAAGGCACUAACUGGAUGACUACAUUUGGAGAUAACAUGGAGGUCACAUUUCGGGCUUCCUGUGCAGGGGAGACUCGGGCCCUCCCAGCCCUGCCGCCUCCCAC